rnacentral:rRNA from 1 species
AGCUCCAAUAGCGUAUACUAAAGUUGUUGCAGUUAAAAAGCUCGUAGUUGAAUUUCUGGCCUUGGAUCUCGGUCCGCCUCAAACGAGGUGCGUACCAGGGAUCUGAGGCCAUCCUCGGGGAAAACAUAUCUGUCAUUAAGUUAAUGGGUAUGGGAUCCCCGUCAUUUACUGUGAGCAAAAUAGGGUGUUCAAAGCAGGCUUAUGCCGUUGAAUACAUUAGCAUGGAAUAAUAAGAUAGGACCUUGGUCUAUUUUGUUGGUUUGUACUCCAAGGUAAUGAUUAAUAGGGAUAGUUGGGGGUAUUCGUAUUCAAUUGUCAGAGGUGAAAUUCUUGGAUUUAUGGAAGACGAACUACUGCGAAAGCAUUUACCAAGGAUGUUUUCA